rnacentral:lncRNA from 1 species
CAUCUUUUUUCAGUGUGGGCCAGAAGUAUCCCUGCCUUAUUAUUCUUUGGGCCAAAGAUCUUCCCCCCUGAUGUAUUCCGCAUACUCCUUGAUGAAUCUCCUCUACAAUGAAUUGUCCUUCUUCUGUUGAGACACAUUUCUUUAGAGGUCCGUCGUAGGAUUUCUUAUACAGAAUAUCACCGAUCAGGCAGAAUCUUGAAACGCGUGUUUGUAACUUGCGUCUUUCAUUUUUAUUUUCAGGAAGUUUCUG